rnacentral:rRNA from 1 species
UGAGGAAUAUUGGUCAAUGGACGGAAGUCUGAACCAGCCAAGUAGCGUGCAGGAAGACGGCCCUAUGGGUUGUAAACUGCUUUUAUGCGGGGAUAAAGUGAGGGACGUGUCCUUCAUUGCAGGUACCGCAUGAAUAAGGACCGGCUAAUUCCGUGCCAGCAGCCGCGGUAAUACGGAAGGUCCGGGCGUUAUCCGGAUUUAUUGGGUUUAAAGGGAGCGUAGGCCGUGGAUUAAGCGUGUUGUGAAAUGCAGGUGCUCAACGUCUGCACUGCAGCGCGAACUGGUCCACUAGAGUGUGCGCAACGCAGGCGGAAUUCGUCGUGUAGCGGUGAAAUGCUUAGAUAUGACGAAGAACUCCGAUUGCGAAGGCAGCUUGCGGGAGCACAACUGACGCUGAAGCUCGAAAGUGCGGGUAUCGAACAGGAUUAGAUACCCUGGUAGUCCGCACGGUAAACGAUGGAUGCCCGUUGUCAGGCUGUUUCAGCCUGGUGACCAAGCGAAAGCAUUAAGCAUCCCACCUGGGGAGUACGCCGGCAACGGUG